CUGCUAGACGAGUUUGAUCAUGGCUCAGAAUGAACGUUGGCGGCGUGGAUUAGGCAUGCAAGUCGUGCGAGAAGUCCCUUCGGGGAUGGACAGCGGCGAAAGGGAGAGGAAUACGUAGAAAUCUACCCUCGGGUCUGGGAUAGCGUCGGGAAACUGGCGGUAAUACCAGAUAACGUCUUCGGACCAAAGUGUGAUUCCACCUGAGGAUGAGUCUACGUCCUAUUAGCUAGUUGGCGGGGUAAUGGCCCACCAAGGCAACGAUGGGUAGCGGGUGUGAGAGCAUGACCCGCCUCACUGGGACUGAGACACUGCCCAGACACCUACGGGUGGCUGCAGUCGAGAAUCUUUGUCAAUGGACGAAAGUCUGAACAAGCGACGCCGCGUGCGGGAUGAAGGCCCUCGGGUUGUAAACCGCUGUCGUAGGGGAGGCAAAUGGAUAGGGGUUCUCCCCUUUCCUUGAGCGAUCCUAGGAGGAAGGACGGGCUAAGUUCGUG
rnacentral:rRNA from 1 species